AGGGUUGCUCAGGUCAUCAUCUGGGAGUUUGGUUGUGGCUGACUCUUUCAGGAAUCAAAGGAACCCAGAGAACAGCAGCAGCAGCAGAUGCCACUUAAGUGUCAAGUCAGCUCCGCACCCUGAUUCCUCACCUAACUGGAAGUCCUGGAAGCUCAUCCCUACUUUUGUCUGCCCCUGAGGUACUGCAUAGCACCAUGCUAUCCUACUGGAGUCCUUGGCAGGGAAGACUGCCAGCAGAGUUCUGGGGGUAGCGUGUAAUUGCAUUAGUAAUCGGACUCCUUCGAGCAGAAUCUCAAACAAAGGAUUAGCGGGAAGGAAGAUGGAAGAAUGCUGACUUCACAAUAACUCACCGCCUUCCUAACAUGAUUAUAUAAAUAAAUUCAAGCAAUAUUUUU